AUACGUAGGGUGCAAGCGUUAUCCGGAAUUAUUGGGCGUAAAGGGCUCGUAGGCGGUUCGUCGCGUCCGGUGUGAAAGUCCAUCGCUUAACGGUGGAUCCGCGCCGGGUACGGGCGGGCUUGAGUGCGGUAGGGGAGACUGGAAUUCCCGGUGUAACGGUGGAAUGUGUAGAUAUCGGGAAGAACACCAAUGGCGAAGGCAGGUCUCUGGGCCGUUACUGACGCUGAGGAGCGAAAGCGUGGGGAGCGAACAGGAUUAGAUACCCUGGUAGUCCACGCCGUAAACGGUGGAUGCUGGAUGUGGGGCCCGUUCCACGGGUUCCGUGUCGGAGCUAACGCGUUAAGCAUCCCGCCUGGGGAGUACGGCCGCAAGGCUAAAACUCAAAGAAAUUGACGGGGGCCCGCACAAGCGGCGGAGCAUGCGGAUUAAUUCGAUGCAACGCGAAGAACCUUACCUGGGCUUGACAUGUUCCCGACGGUCGUAGAGAUGCGGCUUCCCUUCGGGGCGGGUUCACAGGUGGUGCAUGGUCGUCGUCAGCUCGUGUCGUGAGAUGUUGGGUUAAGUCCCGCAACGAGCGCAACCCUCGCCCCGUGUUGCCAGCGGAUUAUGCCGGGAACUCACGGGGACCGCCGGGGUUAACUCGGAGGAAGGUGGGGAUGACGUCAGAUCAUCAUGCCCCUUACGUCCAGGGCUUCACGCAUGCUACAAUGGCCGGUACAACGGGAUGCGACGCGGCGACGCGGAGCGGAUCCCUGAAAACCGGUCUCAGUUCGGAUCGCAGUCUGCAACUCGACUGCGUGAAGGCGGAGUCGCUAGUAAUCGCGAAUCAGCAACGUCGCGGUGAAUGCGUUCCCGGGCCUUGUACACACCGCCCGUCAAGUCAUGAAAGUGGGCAGCACCCGAAGCCGGUGGCCUAACCCCUUGUGGGAUGGAGCCGUCUAAGGUGAGGCUCGUGAUUGGGACU
rnacentral:rRNA from 1 species